rnacentral:lncRNA from 1 species
AUUCGUAUAUGGUUAAAAACAAUGAGAAACAUCUAUUUUUUAAUCUAUAAAUAAAAUCAAACAGACCUAUAAAAAAUCCAAUUGCACGUGUUGGUUUAAUCUAUUCGUAUCUUUAUUUUUGUUUACAUCGCUUAUAUGGUCAUCUGAGGUCAAAUCGAUAGUUAAUUAGAUGGCGUCUGGACUAAAAUACACACGAAAUGAACCUAUAAAUUAUCUACCCCAUGCUCUGUAAACUGUUUAUUUUAGACUUUUGAUAGUUUGGAUAAAUAUUUUACCUUGUUAUAAACCAAAUAUGAGAAUUUGAGUCAAAUCGGUAACAAUGAAUUUGACAGCUAGUGCCCCUUUAAAAAGAAAAAGACAAAAUGAAAA